GACGAACGCUGGCGGCGUGCUUAACACAUGCAAGUCGAACGGAAAGGCCCUGCUUUUGUGGGGUGCUCGAGUGGCGAACGGGUGAGUAACACGUGAGUAACCUGCCCUUGACUUUGGGAUAACUUCAGGAAACUGGGGCUAAUACCGGAUAGGAGCUCCUGCUGCAUGGUGGGGGUUGGAAAGUUUCGGCGGUUGGGGAUGGACUCGCGGCUUAUCAGCUUGUUGGUGGGGUAGUGGCUUACCAAGGCUUUGACGGGUAGCCGGCCUGAGAGGGUGACCGGCCACAUUGGGACUGAGAUACGGCCCAGACUCCUACGGGAGGCAGCAGUGGGGAAUAUUGCACAAUGGGCGGAAGCCUGAUGCAGCAACGCCGCGUGCGGGAUGACGGCCUUCGGGUUGUAAACCGCUUUCGCCUGUGACGAGGCGUGGUUGACGGUAAUGGGUAAAGAAGCACCGGCUAACUACGUG
rnacentral:rRNA from 1 species